rnacentral:misc_RNA from 1 species
CUGAGCUUCAAUGUCAAAGGAUGAGCUUGCUCCCCUUUAGACUAGAACUCCACCCUUUGUUUACAUUACCUUUGUUGCUUUAGCAGGCCCGCUUCUGGCCGCCGGCUUUUGCUGGUCAGUGCCUGCUAGAGGACCUAAAACUCUUGUUAAUAAUAUUGUCUGAGUACUAUAUAAUAGUUA